ensembl:snRNA U6 U6 spliceosomal RNA
GUGCUUGCUUCGGCAGCACAUAUGUUAAAAUUGGAAUGAUAUAGAGAAGAUUAGUAUGGUCCCUGUGCAAGGAUGAUAGGAAAUUCAUGAAGUGCUCCAUCUUUUA